AGAUGAUCGGCUUUGGUGUUUCAGUAGAGACAGACUGUGAGAGCGAAGAGUGGAGAGGAAUAACAGAGACCACAGUGUUGACGACGAUAUCAACUGUUGAAGCUUCAACGUGCUAGACGGAAGGAGGAUGACCCGGAUGAGGAUAUGGAUGCCAAAAUCAACUGGGGUUUAGCGCAGGCCUUCAAUUUGAAGCUUGAUUGCAGUGAGAUUGGGGAUGACAGGCCCCUUGUUCGCCGCAACCUCUAAAUCGCACUUCGCUCCGGUGCUUCGCUGCUACUUCCCGUGGCUUCGAGAAAGUCCCGGUUCAGAAUCCGAUCGUCGAAAUGGACGGUCAUGAAAUGACGAGGAUCAUAUGCAGAGCAAUCAAAGAGAAACUUAUUUAUUUUCCCCUAUGUGGAUUUGGACACCAUAAUUAUGGUGAUUGAGAACCGUGAUGCUACAGAUGAUGAAGCCACUCUUAAGUAAGUGGUUUGAUUUAAAGUGUAUUGAUUGCACUUCCUUGAAAAGAAAGGAAAAUGGCGUGUUUAGAGCAGGCCUUCAAUUUGAACCAGAUUCUCACAAGAUGGCAAAUUGCUUACCACCUCGAGGUGAAAAGGGCUCUUUUGUAGUCAGGAUGAUCUCCCACAACUCUUCCGCCAAGACACUGAUUUUGUUGUUUUUCGAAGACUGAUGCGGGAAUGAUGCUCAGGUAUCUUGACCAAGCAACUAAUUUUUUUGGUUCCUGGAAAAUGCUUUGAGGAGACUUACAUCUUACAACCUGGAAUAUGGGCUUUCGAACAUCAAGCCUGAGGGUUGCUCAGGAGUCAUUCGCAGAAGACUCAUUGAGGCAGCCAAAAUGAGAGCUGGAAGUUACAGUGGAGGAAUAAACAUGACUUAAAUGUGGCAAUACCUCUUACCUGAUAAUAGAAUUUUUAUCACCUGAAGCUUUAUAACAUCGGAUUCCAGUGGGUUUGGACAAGGAACUGAUCUUUGGUAUGGCAGAAAAGGAGAUGGACUACAGGGUUGUCAACAAAAAAGAAACCCCUCAUGAUUCUUAUAAUUUGGACAAAUCAUAAGCAUCAGUUCAAGGGAAGUAGCGCAAGGUGGAGAGAUUUCUCCUGAGAUCGGGAAGAUGGGCAGCUUGGAAGGCUCUGGAGGAGAGAGUCCGAACCAGCUAUUUGCACCUCUUUGUUCCGAUCUGUUUUGGUUUUUUGAUCAACAGAGACAGAGACAGAGGGAGCUGGGUAGAAGAAGAAGAAGAGAUUACGAAUUGCAUUUUCAGAGCUCUUUUGCCCGUUCUCCUAUCAGGUAUUUCAGUCUGUUGCCCUUGCCACCUGUUCAUCUGCCGAGCCAAUUCCGUUUCUCGCGCAUCUUCCUCAGAGCCAUUUCUCAGCUGUCUAUUCAUUUUUAAAAUCGCAACUGAGGCGAGUAGAACAAAGAAGAACAAGAAUAAAGGAGCUUGAAAUUUUUCACUGAUUGAUAAGGUUGGUAAUUCAAUUCCAUUUGUUUCCCAUAAUUUGAAAGCUUAGUUUAAUUUUGUGGAUAGAACAAAGUGAUAAUUGUCCGUGUGCCUGUUUUAUUCAUCUAGAGUUUGACGAAUCGGAAGAGCCAGAGUGAUCUGAUUGCCAAUAUACGAAAUUAACAAUGAAGUUUUGUUAUUAUCUAAUGUAGUCAUCAGUGAUAGUCUCUUAGUCAUCUUUUCAAACUCUAUUAUCGAAUGAAUAUAUGCUGGAUUGAUGGAGGAGGAGAAAGCAAUGUCCACAGAUUGAGUUUAAGGUGAUAUUAGGCAUCUGGGGUUUUGUUCUUUGGUGGUUUGCAAAUUUGGUUAUUGGGUUUUGAUAUUGAUAGUUUAUGCAUGGAGAUUUACAGAAUUGGAACUGGGUUUCUUUAUUUGUAUUCGUUCAUGUAUUGCAUGCAUUCCCGAACACCCCCCCCCCCACACACAACAAAAAUGAAAUCUGAAAUAGGCACUCUAAAGCCCUUGAAAAAAAAAAAUUACAUAAAAUGAAAUUAACUUCAAACAUUUUAAUCCAAGCUUGCAGGCUAAGAAAAGUCCAGCCAUCCACUUAGUUAUACAUUUAUAGUUUGACUCCUGCAUGCCAGUUCUGAAAAAGCCCCAUUUAGUAAUCUAAUUCUAAGAUUAUUCUUAUAUGUUCUGAUAACUGGUCUAAAAGCACCAUUUACGGAUGGAUUGCGCAAGCAUGUUGCUUAAGAUUUGUAAAGUUGGCAAAGGUAAAGUAGGGGGAUCUCUUUGUUGCUCUUAGUUUGUAUCUGUGCAUGUUUAGCUCAUGGGAUCCAUAUAUUCUGCUGCAAGAGGCUUUGAGGAAUCCGGCUUCUUGAAUGAGGUGGCAGGGGUGGUUAGUACCGUUAAGUAAUUAGGAGUUGCUCUUUUUGUUUGCAUAGCUUCCAGCUCCCGCAACGAUGAUACCCCCAAUACUAAGCAUUGGGAGAAAGCCUUUCACGGUCUUGCUCCAAGUGAAUACGAGUGGAGAAUAAUGUUUUGAACAAAUAUACCUUAUAAGGAAACUAAUCCUUGGAGAACCAUUCAUGGUUUGUAUAUUUAGGCGACCACCGUUUGCUGCAGCCAAAUCAAGAAGCUUCUGGUGCUGCUUCUAUGGCUUGGAUGAUGGCUCACCCGCUUGAGGAGUUCUUUGAAGCAGAUAGGAAGACUGAUGACGAAAUGCCAUGGUUGUAUAUGGUACAUGCUUUUUGUUUCCAUUGUUUUCUAUUGUUCAGUGCAUUUAUGAAUUGGGAGAAUUGGAUUGUAUACUUGGCGAGUAUCAAUUGAAGAAACUUAUUGCAAGGCAGAGGUUAAUUUGUUUUACUUUUCA